rnacentral:rRNA from 1 species
UACGUAGGGGGCAAGCGUUGUCCGGAUUCAUUGGGCGUAAAGAGCGUGUAGGCGGCCAGGUAGGUCGGCUGUGAAAACUGGAGGCUCAACCUUCAGAGGUCGACCGAAACCAUCUGGCUAGAGUCCGGGAGAGGAGAGUGGAAUUCCUGGUGUAGCGGUGAAAUGCGCAGAUAUCAGGAAGAACACCCGUGGCGAAAGCGGCUCUCUGGAAACGGUACUGACGCUGAGACGCGAAAGCGUGGGAGCGAACAGG